rnacentral:snRNA from 2 species
UGUCCCAGCUCUUUGGGAUAUCCAAAAAAAAUUGUAACAACAUAGAGAAGAUUAGCAUGGCUCAUAUGUAAGGAGGAUGGAGUUGUUUCAUUUUCUU